UAACACUGUCGCGCGUUAAGAGUACGCAAAGGUGUACACCGUGUACGAUCGUACAGCGCUCGUCAAUAUGAAAAGUGUCAUAUUGUAAGGGUGACGUCCCAUGGCGCGUAUUGCGAUACGCGCGUAUCGGGCGUAUCGAACUCUGCAACCAAUCACAGACAUUCCGCUGCUUUCAGUACGCCGAAAUAUGUCUCUUAUGUCCCAUGAAGCGGAUUACGCGGAAGCGGAACGAGCGGAUCACCAAUCAUGGGACUGUUUCAACGGAAUUUUUGAAAAGGUUCUAUUAGAACGAUCCCGUGAUUAGUGAUCCGCUGAUUCUGCUUCCGCGUAAUCCGCUCCAUGGGACAUAAGAGCCACAUUUCGGCGUAUCGAACAUACACACACACAAGCAUGCGUGGCCAUUUCUAACCUUUUCGUGCCCAUAAGAAGUACACAAAAAGUGACAAGAAGGAGUACCACGCGUAGUACUCAUAAAUCUGAAGAGGUUAUAGUAAAAAGAAGUAAAUUAUAUACACCGCCCAGUGCACACGCCAUGUAACAUUAUACGACUGUGCAUAUAUAUGUGUGCGAUCCGCUCGAUUAUGAAUUUCCGCGGAUCGUCAACGUAUCAAAAACGGCGGAUCGUCUGUCAUUGGUCGAAAUUUAAUACGCCCGAUACGCGCGUAUCGCAAUACGCGCCAUGGGACGUCACCCUAAAAGCGUAUCAAAGAUAAAUAAUAGGGCCCUAUUCUUGAAAUAGUUGCGCAUACAUAAAUAGCAAGUUGCGAAUGAUCGCAAUGGAAAAUCCCUAGAACGGUAUUCUUGACUGUCGCAAGCAGUAACGUAUACGCAAUUUUUCGUGUACGAUGCAACGAAUAGUUCAGACCAUUCGUUUCAUGAGAAACGUAUACGUUUCGAUGAUGAAAAGCAAUAGUAAAAGCCUCCGCGUACCAUUACAUAUUAGUCAGCCAACAGUCUCCCGCUGCAUCCACAAAAUUAUUAAUGUUGUAACAAGAGAAGAAAUAAUGAAACAGGAUUAAGUUUCCCAGUACGUUAGCAGAAUUGAACACGUUAUCCUGGAAGCACUCGCAAUACAUUUAUAUGGAAUAACUCAUAUGCAAAAAACGUGCUAUGGUUUAUCUCUAAAGGCGCUAUCCACACAAAAAUUUCCUUUUAGUAGGUGAUUCAAGGUAUUCUUUCAGGCCUUGGAUGAUGACUCCUAUAAUAGGUGCUAUUAAAGGUAGUCCAGAAGCUGAAUAUAAUACCAAACAAAUGAGAUGUCGUGCAUUAAUAGAAUAAUGCAAUGGAGUUCUGAAAAUGCGGUUUGUGUCUAUUGAAGUAUAGAAUACUCCAUUACUCUCCACCAAUAGCAUCUAAAAUUAUAUAUACAUGUGCUGUUUUACAUAAUAUGUACAUUACCCAAAAUGUGUCACUAAAUCUAAAUGACGAUAAUGAAGAUGUAGAUUUUGGGAUGUAUAAUAACAAAAAUCGUAUUGAAAAUGAAAGAAACGUCCGUAGAAUUGAUCUAAAUAUGGCAGCUGGUAGAAAUAAACAGCAACUAAUGAUUGCAAAUUACUUCUCGUAAAUUAUAAGUAUCGUUUAUCAUUUAGUAUAGUUUUUAUCAAUAGUGGAUUCAUAUUAAUUAGGAAUAUAUCAUAUUUUAAGUCAAAAAUUUUUCUUUAUUCUUACAAUGUAUAUGAAUACAAAUAAAACAUAUAUAAUAUAUAAAAGAAUUA